UGGGGAAUAUUGCACAAUGGGCGCAAGCCUGAUGCAGCCAUGCCGCGUGUAUGAAGAAGGCCUUCGGGUUGUAAAGCACUUUCAGCGGGGAGGAAGGCGGUGAGGUUAAUAACCUCAUCGAUUGACGUUACCCGCAGAAGAAGCACCGGCUAACUCCGUGCCAGCAGCCGCGGUAAUACGGAGGGUGCAAGCGUUAAUCGGAAUUACUGGGCGUAAAGCGCACGCAGGCGGUCUGUCAAGUCGGAUGUGAAAUCCCCGGGCUCAACCUGGGAACUGCAUGCGCAACUGGCAGUCUAGAGUCUUGGAGAGGGGGGUAGAAUUCCAGGUGUAGCGGGGAAAUGCGUAGAGAUCUGGGGGAAUACCUGUGGCGAAGGCGGCCCCCUGGACGAAGACUGACGCUCAGGUGUGAAAGCGUGGGGAGCAAACAGG
rnacentral:rRNA from 1 species